GAAAAUGUAUUCUUAUUAUUGUAUGUCACAUAUAUGUGAAGAGUUCAUGGAAAAAAGGCGAAAUAUCAAAUCUCGGUUAUUAAUAACAUACAGUGUUCGCCAAAAAGUCAGCUACACCCUGUAUUAUUUUGAUUUCCCAAAUAGUUAUUGCACAAGACUAUUAAGAUCUGUAAUAUAUGAAUAAAAAGCUAAUAGAAGAAUAUAAACUUUGAAAAAAACGGAUUGCAUGUAUAUCGGAGGGAUCUUCUCUUAGAAAACUGUAAACAAAUCAAAAUUAAAAAAAUUUACAACAUACAAACAUCUAGAUUUGCCCUAAAUCUUUGGAGGGUUUAAGUUACAAUAACAGCCUGACUGCAAUUAAAGAAAGAAACAGUUUAGGAAAGAAGGAUAAUAAACAACAUAAUAUGGAAUCAAAAGAUAUCAAAGCUAAACAAGCUGAGGAUAUACAACAAAACCUUUUUUAAGAUUUUUAGCACAGUCUCAAAUGAAAGCGAAGUCUGGCCAUGAAAACAUAAAACGGAAAAACAUCUUGAAGCCAUGUCCAAAGAAUGGAUGAAAAUCGACUUCCUAAACAGAUUCUAAAGUGGAAAUCGCAUGGUCGUAGAAAGAGAGGAAGACCAAGGCCCUGCUGGAGAGAGGCAAUUGAUAAAGAGAUGAGAGAGAGAACGUUCUAAGCCGAAAUAUAUGUAGAUAAAUAGAUAACGUUAAUGACUGAGCUUCAAGCGACCUACUGACGUUAAGAUGUUAUUAAUUAAGUUAAGUUAUAAAAAAUACGUCUGCUUUCAAGAUAUAACUUUGAACACAGUUUCUUCUAGUUUUCUUCUCUUCCCUUGUAAUUCAUCAUCACAUUCAUUACUAACAGAACAGUCGCUGUUAUCACUUUCAGUUUCUGAUGCAAGUCUUUCCAAUAAAAGCCAUCUUCUUGCUUCGUUUGUUAAAUCUGCAUCAAAUAAGCUCAUUUUUGUAUCUUGAAUCCAAAUAAGUUGACAUAUCUUAUCA